rnacentral:lncRNA from 1 species
CUUCCCAUAGGUUUAGGAAAUGUCGCCAACCUCUAGUUUCAUCAAAAAUCCAUCAAAAGAAAAAUCAUUUUUUUCUUCUUUGUCUUUGGUCAUUUUUUUCUUCUUUUCUGGUUGUUUCCUCUACUGGCGAUUGUCGUUGAAGGCCUUUGCCCUCUUCCUUGAACUAUUCCCUAGCCUAAGUCAAAGCUUCAAUUGCCAGAAGACCAUAGAUCUUUGGAUUAUUGGCCUGAGCCCCCAUUUUUCCUUGGUGUUUUUGCCAUUUUUGCUUGAUUUUUUAGGCAUUGGUUGUCGCUACUGAUCAUCGA